rnacentral:lncRNA from 1 species
CAGCCUCAGAGAGAAACACUUAUUAACGCCAGGGCAGUUGGCACUAUUUCCACUGGCAUUGUGAAAGAAUCCCAGGGAUCUAAAGAACUAUUUCACCACAAGAUAUGACCUAGUUUUAUAUUUCUGGGGGGAAAUGAAUUCAUGUCUAGAAGUCUUGAGUGAACAAGUAAGAUCAAGAAGCAAAAAGAAGCCAAAAGCAACCCACAGAAGACUCCAAUAUGAGCAAGAUAAAUACACCUUCAAAGACAUAUAUUAAAAGUUGAGAAAAGAAUUCAUCUGAACCAGAGAAGUGUGUUGAGACUGCUAAGUAAAAGGCAUGUGGAGACACGUGCACCCCCAUUUCUCAGGGACCUCCCUUACCCAUCCCCAUGCAGGGAGUGAGAGGAUGGGAUACCGCGUCUCCCUUGACUCUGAAUCUUUAGUUAUAUUGCUAUAAUGCUGCUCUGAGGAAGUUCCUAGUAAGUUCCGAUUGCAAUAUAACCAUGUUUUAUAAUUCACAGAUUAAACUGUAGUGGAUACAGUAAGAAGCUGCUAAUCAGUUGCCACUUCACAAUUCAGAGGUGGCUGCAUUUUAGUGAUGGGUCAAAUGAUUCACUUUUCAUUAUGAUUAUGAUGCUUCCAACAGUGGCCUGGCAUCUCCUACCACCUGACAAAUGCUAAAGAAAUGUGGAAAAUGAUUAUAAUUUUAAUGUAAAAAAUGUAGUUAAGUGACACUGUUUAUCUAAAUUAUCUGAGCACUUCCUUUUUAAAACAAUGCCAUUUUUAUCUCUCAGACGAUGUUCAUCCUUGAAUGGUCUAGGAAAGGACCUCUCAUCUUGACUGUAUGUGGCAUUAUGUCAUCACAAGGUUUGAGGCUUCUAUUUUCUAUCCUGCAUGGACAGUGAUGACCUCAGCUUUCAACAGCAUCUAGAGCAGUGGGACUCAACCGGAGUGAUUUUGCACACCCUCCAGGGGACAUCUGGAAAUGCUUGGAGACAAUUUUAGUUGUCACACCUUGAGGGGAGUGGUGCUACUGGCAUCUAGUGGAUAGAACCCAGGGAUGCUGCUCAACAUCCUAUAAUAUACAGGACAUCCACUACAACAAAGAAUUAUCCAGCCCCAAAUGUCAAUUGUGCUGAGAUUAACAAACACUGAUGUAGAGGAGAAAAAGAACUAAAAGGAGGAGAGCAAACAAACUUGUUUGCUUCCUAAAAAUAGCCAUUAGGCUGUCUCUGGCUGCUGCCUCAGCACAGAGAGCCAGAACCCUUUCGGGCAACCAGGAAUUCCUGAUGGGAUUAUCAGCAGGUUGAGCUUCUAAGUUUCUUUCCCUGCAUUCUACUCUACAAAUCAAGUUCCAUGAGAGAGCCGCCUGAGAUCCAUCUCAAGUUCUCUCUGAAUUUUGAUCUCAGGACCCUGCCUAGUCAAAAUUCAAAUUAAGGCAACAAAAACAUGAACCUUCCUUGAAAACAAAGAGACUUCUGAAAGCAGGGGCAAGGAAGCUUUAAAACAAGGCCCUGAGGAAUGAAGCUUUGAUAGAAA